rnacentral:rRNA from 1 species
AUUGAACGCUGGCGGCAGGCCUAACACAUGCAAGUCGAACGGUAACAGGAAGAAGCUUGCUUCUUUGCUGACGAGUGGCGGACGGGUGAGUAAUGUCUGUGAAACUGCCUGAUGGAGGGGGAUAACUACUGGAAACGGUAGCUAAUACCGCAUAACGUCGCAAGACCAAAAAGGGGGACCUUCGGGCCUCUUGCCAUCGGAUGUGCCCAGAUGGGAUUAGCUAGUAGGUGGGGUAACGGCUCACCUAGGCGACGAUCCCUAGCUGGUCUGAGAGGAUGACCAGCCACACUGGAACUGAGACACGGUCCAGACUCCUACGGGAGGCAGCAGUGGGGAAUAUUGCACAAUGGGCGCAAGCCUGAUGAAGCCAUGCCGCGUGUAUGAAGAAGGCCUUCGGGUUGUAAAGUACUUUCAGCGGGGAGGAAGGGAGUAAAGUUAAUACCUUUGCUCAUUGACGUUACCCGCAGAAGAAGCACCGGCUAACUCCGUG